CUCUGGGGUGUGGACAAAGCCCGAGGAAGGGAUCUGUCCGCCUAAGAGAUGUACACGGAGAGCCGUGGAGCUCAAACGGUGCUGUCAGAUACGAGGAUUGUCUCGAGAGACGUUGUGACGAGAAUGAGAGGGCUCUGGGGAGCGGAGGGAACGUGGGUGUGGAGACAAACAAAGGACAAAAAAUAAUUUGAAAAAAACGCGAAUGGAAUACAGGUAGCCAGGGUACAUUAAAAGCGAUGGUUAAUAAAGAAAUAAUGAAAUAAAUAAGAAAUAUUGAUGGCAAAUUACAGGGGAGAUGUAGAAAUAAAAUUUAAGAGGUCAGCAACGAGGAAAACUGAGACGAAAUAAUUUAAAAACAAAUGCGGUGACCGAGAUACAAGCCAAUUGUAAAAGCCCAGGGAUGAAGAGACAAAAGAAUUUAAAAAUACUGAUGGCAAACCGAAACACCGCUGUUGCAAAAUGGCCAAGCAAAAUAAAUUGCUUAGCGUAAUGUAAAAACUUAAGCGAUCGGUCAAACACCUAUGACGUGUGAUCUGUCACACGGAGAUCCAUCGGCUAGGUGAGCGUGAUAAACACCUCCCCGGAAACGCGUAUGUGGAGAGGCUCUGUGUCAAAUUGAGAGACUCCUAAUAGGAAGCCCUCAUCCUUCAACGUCAAGGCCCUCUGAAAAAGAACAAACUAGCUGAAGGCAGGCGGGAUGUAAGAACGUGCAGACGUAAACCAAAGAAAGGCCCAUUCUAAAACCUAGACAAAGUUUGAGAAAGGAUCCUCUCCAGAAACUGCUAUAGACCGCCGAGGACCUCCGUGGAAGCCCCUCAGGGACCUAAAUCGCACAGUAGAGAAUUUCGGUGACCCGGAUGGGAUGCUGCCUCGGAAACUUGAUAAACCCACGGGAUUGGAAAGACUCUGGCGUCACCUAAGUGCUUUUCGGGGAGAUCCUCCGAACCCCUGAUCUGGUGAGUUUGGAGUAAGAGCCCUGGUGGGUUUUUUUUUUGGUUGUUUUGGUUGGUUGGUUUGUUUGUGGUUUUUUUAAGGCAUUACCAAAGGUAACACAGACUGGAAAAGCCUGUCCGUAAGACUGGACGCAAGAAAUUCCCACAGGACUCUGCUAUUAAGGAAAACCCGGGAAGAAAGGCGAGAUUACACGUUAUUACGGUGACGUGCCCAGAGUGUCGCCUGGGGUCAGAAGAAAGCCUCGAUCGCACGUAAGGUGUGGGCUAGGGUAUCGCGGGGCAUUGGCCAAUGUCCAUGUCUAAUUAUUAUCUUGUAUAACAGCCUUGUUUAGUCUGUUAGGCGGUGUCAUAGUUUUGUGUACGUAAUUGUUUAUUUUGUUUAAUGUGGGUUCCGACCGGUCUAAGGGGUCUGAAAGCGGUCUUUUCAAAAAGUCACCUCUGGAAUAUAUAUUAAAAUAUCAGAGGGACGUGGGAAGCGAACCCCUUAUCUGGGAAACAAUUAAUUGACUAUUGUAAUCGUUGGUGGCCACUGUACGUUUUAGAAGAUCGAGAGAAGUGGCCAAAGAACGGACCUUACAGCUUAACACUAUAUACUGUCGAUGUUGUUUUGUUGGAGGGAAGGGAAACAGGAGGAUGUAGGUAGUGAGGGCCUGGCGGUCGGAAGAUAUCGCGCUGUACGGAAAGAUAGGGCCCCUUUUUCUGAUACCCCGAUAGCCAAUAGUAAUGUAGCAGUGAUGUAAGCAGACAGAAGUGACGUUGUAAACCCAAGCUAUAUAAGGCCUGUAUAUUCCUCAAUAAAACACCAUUUGCCAUCCACCA